AGCGCAUACGGUGGAUGCCUUGGCAGUCAGAGGCGAUGAAAGACGUGGUAGCCUGCGAAAAGCUUCGGGGAGUCGGCAAACAGACUUUGAUCCGGAGAUGUCUGAAUGGGGGAACCCAGCCAUCACAAGAUGGUUAUCUUGCACUGAAUACAUAGGUGCAAGAGGCGAACCAGGGGAACUGAAACAUCUAAGUACCCUGAGGAAAAGAAAUCAACCGAGAUUCCCUUAGUAGUGGCGAGCGAACGGGGACUAGCCCUUAAGUGGCUUUGAGAUUAGCGGAACGCUCUGGAAAGUGCGGCCAUAGUGGGUGAUAGCCCUGUACGCGAAAAUCUCUUGGUCAUGAAAUCGAGUAGGACGGAGCACGAGAAACUUUGUCUGAAUAUGGGGGGACCAUCCUCCAAGGCUAAAUACUACUGACUGACCGAUAGUGAACUAGUACCGUGAGGGAAAGGCGAAAAGAACCCCGGAGAGGGGAGUGAAAUAGAUCCUGAAACCGUAUGCGUACAAGCAGUGGGAGCAGACUUUGUUCUGUGACUGCGUACCUUUUGUAUAAUGGGUCAGCGACUUAUUUUCAGUGGCGAGCUUAACCGAAUAGGGGAGGCGUAGCGAAAGCGAGUCUUAAUAGGGCGUCUAGUCGCUGGGAAUAGACCCGAAACCGGGCGAUCUAUCCAUGGGCAGGUUGAAGGUUAGGUAACACUGACUGGAGGACCGAACCGACUACCGUUGAAAAGUUAGCGGAUGACCUGUGGAUCGGAGUGAAAGGCUAAUCAAGCUCGGAGAUAGCUGGUUCUCCUCGAAAGCUAUUUAGGUAGCGCCUCAUGUAUCACUGUAGGGGGUAGAGCACUGUUUCGGCUAGGGGGUCAUCCCGACUUACCAAACCGAUGCAAACUCCGAAUACCUACAAGUGCCGAGCAUGGGAGACACACGGCGGGUGCUAACGUCCGUCGUGAAAAGGGAAACAACCCAGACCGUCAGCUAAGGUCCCAAAGUUAUGGUUAAGUGGGAAACGAUGUGGGAAGGCUUAGACAGCUAGGAGGUUGGCUUAGAAGCAGCCACCCUUUAAAGAAAGCGUAAUAGCUCACUAGUCGAGUCGGCCUGCGCGGAAGAUGUAACGGGGCUCAAACCAUACACCGAAGCUACGGGUAUCACGUAAGUGAUGCGGUAGAGGAGCGUUCUGUAAGCCUGUGAAGGUGAGUUGAGAAGCUUGCUGGAGGUAUCAGAAGUGCGAAUGCUGACAUGAGUAACGACAAUGGGUGUGAAAAACACCCACGCCGAAAGACCAAGGUUUCCUGCGCAACGUUAAUCGACGCAGGGUUAGUCGGUCCCUAAGGCGAGGCUGAAAAGCGUAGUCGAUGGAAAACAGGUUAAUAUUCCUGUACUUCUGGUUAUUGCGAUGGAGGGACGGAGAAGGCUAGGCCAGCUUGGCGUUGGUUGUCCAAGUUUAAGGUGGUAGGCUGAGAUCUUAGGUAAAUCCGGGAUCUUAAGGCCGAGAGCUGAUGACGAGUUGCCUUUAGGCGACGAAGUGGUUGAUGCCAUGCUUCCAAGAAAAGCUUCUAAGCUUCAGAUAACCAGGAACCGUACCCCAAACCGACACAGGUGGUUGGGUAGAGAAUACCAAGGCGCUUGAGAGAACUCGGGUGAAGGAACUAGGCAAAAUGGCACCGUAACUUCGGGAGAAGGUGCGCCGGUGAGGGUGAAGGACUUGCUCCGUAAGCCCAUGCCGGUCGAAGAUACCAGGCCGCUGCGACUGUUUAUUAAAAACACAGCACUCUGCAAACACGAAAGUGGACGUAUAGGGUGUGACGCCUGCCCGGUGCCGGAAGGUUAAUUGAUGGGGUUAGCUAACGCGAAGCUCUUGAUCGAAGCCCCGGUAAACGGCGGCCGUAACUAUAACGGUCCUAAGGUAGCGAAAUUCCUUGUCGGGUAAGUUCCGACCUGCACGAAUGGCGUAACGAUGGCGGCGCUGUCUCCACCCGAGACUCAGUGAAAUUGAAAUCGCUGUGAAGAUGCAGUGUAUCCGCGGCUAGACGGAAAGACCCCGUGAACCUUUACUAUAGCUUUGCACUGGACUUUGAAUUUGCUUGUGUAGGAUAGGUGGGAGGCUUUGAAGCGUGGACGCCAGUUCGCGUGGAGCCAUCCUUGAAAUACCACCCUGGCAACUUUGAGGUUCUAACUCAGGUCCGUUAUCCGGAUCGAGGACAGUGUAUGGUGGGUAGUUUGACUGGGGCGGUCUCCUCCUAAAGAGUAACGGAGGAGUACGAAGGUGCGCUCAGACCGGUCGGAAAUCGGUCGUAGAGUAUAAAGGCAAAAGCGCGCUUGACUGCGAGACAGACACGUCGAGCAGGUACGAAAGUAGGUCUUAGUGAUCCGGUGGUUCUGUAUGGAAGGGCCAUCGCUCAACGGAUAAAAGGUACUCCGGGGAUAACAGGCUGAUACCGCCCAAGAGUUCAUAUCGACGGCGGUGUUUGGCACCUCGAUGUCGGCUCAUCACAUCCUGGGGCUGAAGCCGGUCCCAAGGGUAUGGCUGUUCGCCAUUUAAAGUGGUACGCGAGCUGGGUUUAGAACGUCGUGAGACAGUUCGGUCCCUAUCUGCCGUGGACGUUUGAGAUUUGAGAGGGGCUGCUCCUAGUACGAGAGGACCGGAGUGGACGAACCUCUGGUGUUCCGGUUGUCACGCCAGUGGCAUUGCCGGGUAGCUAUGUUCGGAAAAGAUAACCGCUGAAAGCAUCUAAGCGGGAAACUUGCCUCAAGAUGAGAUCUCACUGGAACCUUGA
rnacentral:rRNA from 2 species